CAUAACUAUUAGACAAGCAGGCAAAUAAAAGAAGUCAACGCAAAAUACUAAACUCAAAGACAUAACUGACAUAAAACAGACUGACCUAACGUGAAAUGACACAUAAGGGCAUUUAAAUACUGGCUUAGCUAAACCAUGUUGACACAACAGGGGAAAACAAAAUAGCUGCCACAUGAAAACUAACACAAACCGAUUAAAUGUUUGCUGCUGAGGAAAGACUUUCACAUUUUGCAUGGAAAAUACCGUCAGACUCUGAGUGGCUUCUGUGGCCCACGAAACCACGGGGCCCUGCGUGGUGUCCAGGAUCUGCUUGCUUCCAGGUUGAGGUAGUAGAUUGUAUAGUUUAGAAUUACAUCCUGGGAGAUAACUGUACAACCUCCUAGUUUUCCCUGAGGUAGGCAUGGCACUCUUCACAGCCAGAUCGAUACAGUCCGCCUGCCACAGCCAGAUAAUGGCCCCUCACCAGGUCAUUAAAAAAAGCAGCCUAGAUAGGCUGCUUUUCUGAUGGAGUAGCAAUUUCUGCUGCUGUGGGUUGGCCUGCACUGUUCCUGAGCUUUGAUGCAUGUUGGGUUGGCACCUUUUGCAGUUGCAGAUUUAUUUUGGAUAUCACAACCAUCAUCUUUUUAAUAUAUGUGCUUAAAUCUAUUUCCCCACAUAAAAUAAAAGCUCAUCUCUCUGUUUUAAAUUUCAAACAUAACAAAGCAGAAGAAUCAAUCAGGACAAAUCAGAGGCAAAUCACAAAGCUUCAAGUUUUUGAUAUGACCAGAUUUUUUUUUUACCAAAACAAAUCUGGUAAAAAAUCAUGUGACAUCACAAUGAUUGUAUAUCAAAUAUAAUAUUUAUGGAUACUGUCCAAAAUGACAGCUAACCAGAAUGAUUCAUCUCUAUGUUUAAUAUCUCUCCUUUUUUGGUUGGUGAACAUUGUUGGUCUGAGCCAUUCCAGAGCCGAUGGGCUCGAUGUACGGCAGCUCCUAACCACAAUGAAAUGUCAGUGCAGCAUUUUAUUUACUAGCUGAUAACCUCAUUUAAACUGAUGAGUGUGUGGAAGAAGACAGGCCGCUUCUGUGAUUUAGCUCAUGUGCUGACAUAACAGUAAGAGAGAUCAAGGGGAGAGAGGAGCAAAAGAUGGAGACGGCAGCAGCAGCAGCAACGUCUCCAUCCGUUAAGCAGCUGUCAGUCAGAACAAUUAUUGUCACAAUAUUUCCAAUUGCCAGACGCAGUGUGUGUGGAAAGUACCACUCUCAUAAUAUCCUGACAUCCAAAAUAUUGUGACUGUAAUGGAGGAAGUGAAAAUGGGAGGAUAAUUCCUGCCAGUGCACCAGCAGACAGAAUCCUAUUUCUGGGCUUUCUUCUCCUCUGUCAGAGUGUUUUCUUUUAUGCCUAAGAUUGAAAUCAGAAAAGUGUCUCUGAGCUGAAAUCCUGUUGAAACCAAACACGCCAACAUCUGUCUGGUCUUAGCAGCGUGGCCAGGACGCUACUCGUUUUCCACUCUUUUCCUCCAGUGGGGUGCAUGUCAUUCCCAGCCUCUAACCUUCUCCAUGCAUCAGUGGGCAUGACAGCACCUUGAAGUCUUACAGUCCUGGAAUGGAGUUCUGUUCCAGCAGCUAAGGCCUUAAGAAGAGGAGCAAAAGACUGCCCCCUGUUGGUGUACUUUGUGAAAUGACCUUCAGUGACAAGAACAGCAGAUUUGACAAAGGAAAAAUAAAAUACAGCAUGUGUGAGUGCGACUGCAAGUGUGUAUGUUGAAUAUAUUAAUGUUAUGUUUGCUUUGUUUUGUGUCUAGUCUGCACCGUUCAAAAUAUGAACCCUAUUGAAGUGCGUGUGAAUAUGACGCUUCAUACAUGGUGCAUUUAAGCAGUCGGUAUGAGCAUGAGUGCAGGUUUGAGGUGUGCAUGCAGCGGAUAGGUGGUGAAACACUUCAGCAGUGGCUUAGCAGAAGUCAUGAUAACAAACAGAAAAGCUACAGAGUUUCUGCUUGUUUCAGCAUAGAGUGACAAGAGAUCUCUGAUAUCUAGACUCUACAACUAAACUCAGCUCGGAUUCACUCUGCAAACUUGAGGAUAGCAAGGGAGUUCACUAGAACACCAACUGUUCUCCUGCCAUAACUGAGUAAUUUCUUUUACAUCACUAACACCAUCAAUAGUAGUUAGCAGUGACGUUUUGCAGUUAUUUCUUUUUUAAAUUUCUUUCCAAAAGUCGUUAACAUUAUUAUUUCCUAACUUCCUUGCAAGACAGUCAAACCUCACAGUAUUUUCAUUUAUCUUUAGAAAUCUUAAAGCAUAUUUAAAAUUGGCAUUUCCCUGUUUUUAUACUCAAACAAGGAGCCAUGUCUCCUGUUUACCUGAAUCAAGCCAGGCUUUAAGAGCCUUUCUGGCUACUGCAUGAAGCUCUCUUACAUAGUCGUUCCAGCUUGGCUUGGUACUAUGUGAGCUGGUUUUAUACAGUGGCUUGCUUGAGGUAAGGAGGAACUUCACAACAUUCUCUUACAAAGUACAUAACUCAACACCUUGUUGCGGGUCGUUGCAGUUCAUAUCACGGUAUGAAAUUGCUCCCUUUGGUAAAUAUGUAUUGCUAAACAUAUUGUUCAUAUGAUCACAAUAAUCUAAUAGAUUUUUUUCAGUCAACUUAUCCCAUGCUAUUUAAAGUUGAUUUAACAACAAGAGUUGUCUAAACAUUGUUUUUUAAGGUAAGUAAUAUUGUAUUGUGAGUUUUAACAUAUUGUUGCAAUUUAAGCCAAAUAAUUAUUUCACAAUAUGUGAGAAAAAAACUUCCCUUUGAAGCAUUUGAAACAUUAUAAAUGAAACACUGAUAAAUACUCUGAUGUAUGACAUUGCCACCAGACAAAAUGUCAUGUUUCAAUUGUUAACUGUGUGCUCUAUGGAUACUUUUGUGUUUUAUGAUGUAAAACACUUUGAACUGCCUUGUUGCUGAAAUGUGCUAUACAAAUAAACUUGACGGAUUGGUUGAUUGAUGUAGGAGGCUCAGCAAGCUUGGGAAAGAAGGCGCUCUGGCAGAUCAACACAAAAAGCUGGCCUACAUGCAAAAUGCAUUUUCCAACAGAACAACCAUCCUAACAUGACAGGCAGUAGGGGACAUCAAAGCACUUCUUAGAACAGUCCAGAGCUUAAUGAAAUUUAGAACCUUCUAAGAUUUGAAGAUUAAUGUUCACAUUGCUCCUAUCUGAGGGUGCAUUCACACCAGCCUUGUUUGGUUCCAUUUUAAUCCAUAUCCAAUUUGUUGGCCUACUAGGUCCCUUUCAUUUGGGGGGGCAGGUAUGAAGGUAUAAUUGCAUAGAGCAAAGUCUAGUCCACCUAUAAACCUUGGUCUGGGUUCAGUUGAAGUGAACUCUGGUGCAGAUUGAAUGCAAGUGAAUGUCAAGCAAACAGAAGACCACUCAAAAAACAGGAAGCAGACUACAAAGCAUGGCAUUCUGGGUAAGUAUAACCAAAACAAACACACAAGUCUACCCCUUUGCGGAGAAAUGGUUUGUGGUCUUUUACCAAACACAAAAGAGAAAUCCUUCAACAACUAAAACCUGGCACCACUCAAUAUUUGUUUACAGAAAGAAGUUGUGGUCAGUGUCUUCUUCAGUGUCUUUUUUAGUUUUUUGUUGCAGCACCACCACAGGCGAGGAGGUAAGCAGGCAUUUCAAAAGGUUUGGUUUGAUUGAUACAGAGUGGUGUGAAAUAGAACCGCAGCAGCUGAAAUUGGAACAAAUGUUGAAAUUUUGGUCCCCAAUCAAACAAAAUCUGACACUGAUCAGUUUUUGUUAACAUUUUGUGACGAAGGAAGUUGCGCUGGUCGUCUUCAGACGUUUUGUGUACAUUCCUUUAGUAGUUCUUAUUGCAGCGCCACCUCAGGUGACAGGGGAAACCAGUUUUCCAGUUAGUUUGGAUCAUUUGACAGUGUAGGGUGGAAGAGAACCUCAGCAGCUUAAAUUGGAAUAAAUGUUAACAUUUAUUUUCCCAAUCAAACUGAGUCUAACAGAUGUGAACUCACUCUGAAAUAUCUACCAGUCCAUCUUUUAAAAAAAAAGCUGAGAUGCUCAAAGCUCAAGAGCAAGUGCUGUAAAAUGUGGUUCUACAAUGUCUUGACUCAGAAGAGCUAAAUACAAAUGCAAAUCACACCAUUUCAAUUUUUUCUGUAUAAAUCCUUUUCAAUUCAUGUCACAAUACUGCACUAAAUUGUGUGGGUCGAUUGCAUGAACCUAGAUAAAACACAUCAAUGUUUGUGGUUCUAACCUGUUAAAAUGUGACAUUUUUUUCUUUUGAAAAGCACCAGAUAGGUGUCACUGUGAGUCAUUAGUCUGAAGAGCAGACUGUAUUAGGUGAAGUACCCAACAGCCUUUGUCUUGCACAUUUGUACUUUCGGUUUUGCAGAACUGCAUCUCAGCCCACUGUUAAGCCCCCUAUCUAUCACCUUUUGUUGUCCUCCUCUGUCCUCCAUGUGACAAUCAGACGUGACAGCUGUCAUUCAAGCUCUGCAACCACAACUCGUCUCCAGACUGUGUGUUCUGCCUCCUCGAUAAACACGCAGAGAAUUAGAAACCGAACCAGAGUUGCAUGUUUCUGUUGCCGCCUCUCAGUCUCUGCAGGCUGGGCGCGACAUGGCCAUGUGCGACGUUUUCCCGAGGAUGAGUAGGCCACAGCAUGACAGAUCUGGGUCUCUCUUGACUUGCCGCUUGGCUGGUUGGCUGCUGCUUCCUCCUGUCCAUACCCAGCAGAUUACAAAGAGAGAGCAAAUUGGGUCUGAUAAUUAACAACCCACUUUGCUCUCGCUUACCUAGAAAGAUUGUUAUGAACCACACAGAUGAUUCAUAACAGAUGAGGUUUUAUGACCUCUGAAGGUCAUAUGAGUGAAUCCAAAUAUUUGCAUAAAUCAUGAAAGCCCUUCUCCUCUCUAUCUUUCUCUCUUUCUGCAUGCUGCUAUGUGUUGCAAACACACACGUGAGCCUUUGUCUUUCACCCUCAAAGUGUGCUAAUAUUAGACCCAUGCUGAGGGCUGACUCUGUCUGGACACAAACAGUGAUAAAUGGGCUUGGAUGGCGUGUGUGUGAGCGUGUGUGCACGGGUAGGGGGAAUUUUAAAAUGAAUGCUGUCAUCGUGUUUUGGAGAGGUGUCUGUGAAGAGAUGCAGGGUGUUGUAGAUCCAGAUGUGCAGUGUUCUACAGCUGUGCAAAAAUAAAAUAGAAAAACGCCAUAAUGCACCGCCUGGCAGACAGCAGUCAAAGAGGAUUAGCCGGGUGCAGACUCAGUCGGUCGAUCAGUUCAUAAGAGAGAGAGAGAAAAAGAAGGAAAGCAGAGGGCAGUGUGGUCCUGGGGAUUUUUCUAUUUUUUUCCCUCCUCAUCCAGUCUUUCAUGCCCCGUCGCUUAUUUGAGCUUCCAGCCGACUGUACGUCGUCGCUCUCCUUUGCUUCCCUCCAUCUGUCCCUCCCCCAUCAUCUCUUCUCUUUUUCACCCUCCUCCCACUCUCUCUCGUCCUCCCUUUCUCUUUCUCUCUAUACCAAAGCCGGGGGGAGCAGGCAGAGAUUAAAUGUAGUCUCUAUAAGCCAAAGCACAUCACAUAGCAAUGUUUCUGUGGCCCCGUCCCUCUGCUUCUCCUCGGAGGAUGGGGGAAUGAUAAGAGGACGUAGAGAAAGAUCAGGCCGCAAAUGUGGAAUUUUGAAAAAUCCACUUUGUUUUCUUUUUUGCAUGCAAGCAGAAGGAUACAGAUAAAUGGUUUCCUUGGAGGCACAUGGACAGCAGCAAGGUGGACUACUCUUCCUCCCAAGCUCACCUUCCUCUCCCUCUGUCUCCCUCUUUCUCCCGUUCUGGCCUUAUGCAGAGGAAAAGAGGGCCUCUGGCUGUAAGUGAUCACAGCUGUGAGGCAAAUUAAAUGAUGAUCUUUCACUCUCCUCUUCCUCCGCUUUUCAAAUGCCCCCCUCCACGUUCACCCCAUCCUGUCACCCUCCAGAAGGCGUGGAGGAAGAAAUGGAGGAGGGUGAGAAAGGUAAAAGUAGAAAGCUUGAGAGAGAAAGGUAGAAUGUGAGUGAGGCAGGGGGAGGAGAUGAAGAGGGUGGAGAGAGUGUGUGUUUUUUUCUUUCAGUCUUCCCUCCUUCCACCUCUGCAUGUGAUUGAGGAAGAAAACAAUGCGAGGGAAAGGGUGAGGAGGAGAGAAAGCAGAGCAAGACAAGAGAUCAGCAGGCACAGUGUUUUUUUUCCUUUAACCUGGAGCUGUGGGCGUGUGCGUGCGUGUGUUUUAAUGUGCGUGUCCAUGCACGGGUUUUUGUUGUCCUCUCUCUUGCCCACCUGCUUUGGACCUGCAGGUCUGGAUGAAAACAGGCAGAGAGCAAAAGGAGCACUGGGCGGUGAGGGCAUCCUGGACCCAAAGGGGGGGGUAGCACGAUUUUCCCUUGAUAGGAAAAGGACUCUGCUUUGAUAGCAGCUUACUAAAUGGCAAGUCUUUUACUUGGUACAUUUAGUCCCAGUUUGAUUUUGGGACAUCACUGAUUUUGGGCCAAUUUCUAAUCUCCAGUUUUUGUGAGGCUUUCAUGGCAGCUUUGAACUAUAGCAGAUAAAAAUAUAGAAGUAACAUUCAAAAUAUCUUAUUGGCCUUCCUGCUUUGAAUGGUCAUCAUUAUUGGUUGGUAAUUAUUUAUAUUGGAAGCAGAGGCAACAUCACACUGUGUGUUGGAGACAGGAGUCAGUAUCUGGCCUUGCCAUUGACCACAAUGUUACAGUGCAAAUUGGAAUUAUAACAAUAAACGGAAACUAUUUAAUUCUGAAAAUAUGACAUUUUUGGUAAUAGGUUUUUUGCGCUAGAAUGCGGUGGUAUUGUGGCUAUUUUGAAAUAGAUGUAUUUAUUGCAAUGUAAACAUUAUUUUGCAUUACACAAGUUAUGCAAUCAACAACCAGAUGUUACUACUGCAAAAAAGGAUGGCAGAAAGUAGUAGUAUAUUUUGGGAUUAUGCACAGUUGGCUCUACCAGACACAGCAUUGAAAAAUUCAUCAAAAGUUGAGUUUGUCAUUUUAAAGAGUUGAAUCUAUAGCUCUUCUGUAAUUUCCCAAAAACGCUGCACCCACAUGUAACAGACAUGUCACUCCACUGUCUCAAUAAUGGUUGAGGAUGAGUGCUAGUGCCAUAGCUGAAUUCUGAAUAUAUCUCAUGUAAGUCUUGCCACCAUCAUUUUGAAUUACUUUUUGAGCGAACAAACUUAUUCACAUGUGAUUUUAAUCAUUUUAAUGGAAACACUGUGUUUUCAAAAUUGAGUGUUUUUUUUCAUAUGUAGAAUUUGUAAUGGAAACACAGCUACUAUAAAUGAAAAUUAAAAUUGUAUUUCUUUAUUUAAAAUUUUACAAUAAAUUUUGACAUUUCUAAUGUCAAAAUUGAUUUCACAUUAGAAAUUGUCUUUAGACUCUUAUAUAAGCACCACGAGCAUUACUAACUUGAAAUGGGAGUUACCUUUCUUCACCAAAAGAGUGCUGGCAAUUUAAAAUAUAACAUUUUCUAUGACAGACAAACAUUGAAAGCUAAAGAAAAUAAAACCUUUGCUUGACUUCAUUCAGCCUUUCCGUUAUCUACUGAAAAUCUUGCUUUCUUUGCCUCUCUCAAGUCUUAAAAGAACCAUAGAUAUGUCUCAGUAGGUUGAGGAGAUCAACCUAUUGCUUUUUGUCACUGAUACUGGAAAUAGCUAGCAUUGAAUCCUUUUCACUCAGAACCAACAUCCACUCCAAAUAGUGUUACCAACCUGCUACUUUGAUGUGUUUACUACAUGGUAAAUGAUUGGAUGUUGGAUGUCCCCACUAGCCAGUUCCCAGUCAGGCCUGGCCAUUUCUUGAUCAGAUCUAAUAGCAGCACAUUUUAAACAGCUGCACUUUAUUUAAAGCAUGAAUCUUAGCUAUUUGUCACCUCUGGUCUAUAUGGUAUGUAACAAGGAGAUUGAUGAUAAUCUAUCUUCACUGAUAGUUCUCUUUCUGUGAAAGAAGGGUCUUAGACAUCUAUGUGUUUUGUAGGAUUUUAGCAAAUGCAAAUCCCUUAUAUUUUAUUUGUAGCAAUGCCUUCCAACUUUUAUUUUUCCAGAUAUCCAGUUGACUGUAGAAAUAACAGUUAACUGGCUCCUACAUAUCUGUGGUGAUAAAAGUUAAUUUAUUUUAAUACCCACUAUUUUUUGCUUUAAAAUGUUAUCUACAGAACCAUGGGUUACAGCAACAACAGUUAGAUGUAAAAUGCUAAUGUGUUCAAACUGUAAGCUUUGAUCAGGAGAUGCAGUCAUGUUGCUAGUCAACCAGAAUAGAUUUUGAUUUGAAUCCCAUCUGCACUGCUAAUCUGCCGUUUUAGUACUUCUCUCAUUCCUGUCUUUUCCUUUCAUCUUAAAACCAUUUCUUAUUGCCCCAGCCAAAGCAAACAGUCACCUGCAGUGAUAAAAUGUCUAUCCGGUGUUCUCCAUUGUUCCGCUCCUUCAAAUGCUGUUGGUACACAGUGUCCCCAUAACUUAGUCAGACAUGAAGGACUGCCACACAGACAGCCAGACUGACUGGUGGGCAUGCACCCACUACGAUAAGCUGCUUGAUUACCUCUGCAUUGCCUGAACCCUUUCUCCGAUAGGUAAAUUAGGUGAUCUGUUGAGUUGCGUUUGCAUCAGCCAAAUUUAGAUCAGAUCAAGCCUGAAUGCUUUUCCAUGUGUGUGUUUUUUGUCACAGCAACUUUAGAUGUGUCAGUCAGCAAUGAAACCUGGCAUAGAAAAGCUUGAGCAGCAGAGCAGUCCCAGACCAAAGCCAGCCCACAAUUCAGCUAUUGUUAGUGUUUUCAGUCAAAAUGCAUCUUUGUGCCGCUAAAUAUCAGCUACCCCACGGUCAGUGCUUUUGAAUGGAAGCAGAGAGGAGUUUAAGCUCAGGCUGAUGUGUGUAACAGUAUGUUUUCAUAGAAAAAUCUUCUGUGCAUAUCUGUAUGGCAGUGAAUUAACUGACCAGAUUAUUCAAUAAAUAGUGUCAGUCUGGUCAGGAUGACACUAUGCUUUUUGUCGUGUUGAGUUUUCACUCACCAUUCUGCUGUGUCUUUUCUGUCACUCCCUUCAGCAGGCUGUCUGCUGUCGGCUGCAGACAGGACAGCCUUAAACAUCAAUACCCAGAACUGGUCAGUGGGUAACUGUCUGAUUUCUAUAAUAUCUUUUAACAUGCCAGGGGCUUUUUGUUCUUUUUGUGUGUGUUUGCGGAACAGUUCUUGCUGGAGAAUGAUUUCGAGUCCCGUCUUCCUAGUCUUUCACUGAAACAAGAUGGUGCCACGCCUCCACAUGGGUCUUUCCUCUCCAAAUAAUGCCCACUACACGUGCCUCUAGUUGUUGCUUCUGCAGAGGUCAUGUUUUUUAUAAUGCAUGCACACCUGGGGCCUAUUUACUUACCACAUACCUGAAAUUGCGGAAGCUCUUCUGCUCUGAGCUGAGAGGAGGAAUUAGGGCAGAUCAAACACUUUUAUUGUUCUCCUUUCCCAUCCUCACUGCCCAUUAGCUGCCAAAUAAGCUUUUUUUUUGUCUUCUGUGUGGCAAUGUUAGCAGUGUUAACAAUCGCACACGCAGACACACCCCUACACACGCAGGAAGGUAAUAACUGUUCCUGAUGUUUUUAUACCAUAAACUGAGGUAAUACUGAUUGAAUGUUCAGACAGGAACUCUGGGGCUAUGACAAAAAGAUUAGCAUUGCUGCAACCAGUGUAGUACUCGAGACGGGUCUUGGUCUCGAGACCAUUUUUUGAUGGUCUCAGUCUUGGGUGCUGAGGACUCGGGACUUUAUUUCAAGACCAGUCAAGACCGCAACUGUGGAAGUAUCACUAAACUUACUGCAUACUGUCCAGUUUAUUUGUUAACGUGUUUGUUUUCACUGGAUGCAAAAUGCACCGAUUAAAAUCCAAGCAAUAACGUGACUUACAAAUUACGUGUUUCUGUUACUCUCCCUUCUCCCUCCCCACCUUUCACUCCCACACAGCGCUCCAAGACAUGCGCAGUGGGUAUUUUUGAGCGGCAGAAGAUGUCUGUCUUCAUCAGUAAUAGAAUUGCGCUGCAUAAAUCUUUAAAAAUCUGAUGGCGACAGCUAACUCAGCAGCGCUUCGCUUUCACAGACGGUGGGGACUACGUCUAACUUUUUUUGUCACUUAGAAAAGAAGCUCAAAGACGUUGACGUGAUGUUAGCAAAGUUAGCUGUACAGAGACACAUAAGCAUUUGUGAUGAAAAAAAAAGUCACUCAUUGCGCUGAAUUAUUGUGUGAAGGUGUUGACUAAUGUGUCACAUAUAUGGGACAACACUGUGUCCAAAAGUCUGCAAUAUAGUGAUGUGACAUUCAUGAACGAUCCGAGUCUUCUGAACUUUUCUUUACUAAGAAGCAGUGACGUGCGGGGAGGUUCGUAGCCGGUUAGGCAAUGACUUAAUCAUAAUCAUAUUUACAAAUAUAUACCCCCUGCAUGUUAUUGUUUACAUAAGGAAAUUCCACGCAAAGCUGGAGGGCAAAAGGACUAUUCUUUUACAUGUCAUAGCUGCACUGCCGCCGUAAAAUAAUUCUGUUAACUCAAUCAAACUUGGACUUGUAGACAGUAUUAAUUUUGUGCUCCACAGCAAAGGGAAAAACCGUUUAAGGACAACUCAAAACCACGUCUUUCACGCUCUCUGUAUCAGCGUAGCUACGCGUAGACUUGUUGCCAUAGAAACUGACAACAACGCCACAAAAAAAAAAAAACACUCAGCUAUUUCCCACACAAAGAGCAGAACAUUCAGUCUAUUGCAAUACUAUGGUUUUAGGCUUAGUGUUUAUUUUGGGGUUAUUAAUAUGUGAUUGCUGUGGUAAGAGGAGAAAUCUCUAAACAUAUCGCUGCACUUGACUUUACUGUAUGGCUAGCUCGCUGUUACUGUCUCUUACUCUGCAGUUGUGGAGUCUCAAUGUCUGGGAUCAUGAGCGCCCCCUGCCAUGAGGCAAGAAAACUGCCUGCCUCACCUCGAAUCUGUUCUCUGUCGUUUCUGAUCGCUUCUCAGCACACAAAACAUGUUACACACACAGUUGGUGACAAAAAAAACAAAA